ACUCAAAGGAAUUGACGGGGGCCCGCACAAGCAGUGGAGUAUGUGGUUUAAUUCGAAGAUACGCGAAGAACCUUACCAGGGCUUGACAUAUUGGUGAACAUACUAGAGAUAGUAUGGUCCUUCGGGACGCCAAAACAGGUGGUGCAUGGUUGUCGUCAGCUCGUGUCGUGAGAUGUUGGGUUAAGUCCCGCAACGAGCGCAACCCCUAUUGUUAGUUGCUAGCGAGUAAUGUCGAGCACUCUAGCGAGACUGCCGGCGAUAAGUCGGAGGAAGGUGGGGAUGACGUCAAAUCAUCAUGCCCCUUAUGUCCUGGGCUACACACGUACUACAAUGGCUAUCACAGCGGGAAGCAAUAUGGUAACAUGGAGCAAAUCCCAAAAAAUAGCCCCAGUUCAGAUUGUGGUCUGAAACUCGACCACAUGAAGAUGGAAUUGCUAGUAAUUGCAGGUCAGCAUACUGCAGUGAAUACGUUCCCGGGCCUUGUACACACCGCCCGU
rnacentral:rRNA from 1 species